rnacentral:rRNA from 1 species
GAUGAACGCUGGCGGCGUGCCUAAUACAUGCAAGUCGAGCGAACAGAUAAGGAGCUUGCUCCUUUGACGUUAGCGGCGGACGGGUGAGUAACACGUGGGUAACCUACCUAUAAGACUGGAAUAACUCCGGGAAACCGGGGCUAAUGCCGGAUAACAUUUAGAACCGCAUGGUUCUAAAGUGAAAGAUGGUUUUGCUAUCAUUUAUAGAUGGACCCGCGCCGUAUUAGCUAGUUGGUAAGGUAACGGCUUACCAAGGCAACGAUACGUAGCCGACCUGAGAGGGUGAUCGGCCACACUGGAACUGAGACACGGUCCAGACUCCUACGGGAGGCAGCAGUAGGGAAUCUUCCGCAAUGGGCGAAAGCCUGACGGAGCAACGCCGCGUGAGUGAUGAAGGUCUUCGGAUCGUAAAACUCUGUUAUUAGGGAAGAACAAAUGUGUAAGUAACUGUGCACGUCUUGACGGUACCUAAUCAGAAAGCCACGGCUAACUACGUG